rnacentral:lncRNA from 1 species
GGACGUCACCCCCGCUCCUUUCAUUUAAUAAGCCUCAGGGACACGUGGAACGCCGGUAUAACCUCAGCCUCCCCAGAUCCCUAUCCUGCCAAUACGAGAUCAGAAAUAUCCGACCUCGGAUCAUGCCGCGUGUUUAUUUUGAAGCGCGAAACGGCAUACCUAUUUAUAAGGGGGGCCUCGACCACGAGAUCGAGGCGCCGCCCCAUCGGGCCCAGGGACCCUCAUAAUGAGUACGCCGUACGACGCAAUCUCGGAGAUCCAAAGGGCGCAAUCCCCGUUGUAGCUGCUUCGGGAUGCGUAAGGACGCAGACCCCGUUAUAAGUUCGCCGUCUAAAGCGACCUCGAAGUGCCAAAGGACGCAGACCCCGUUAUAAGUUCGCCGUCUAAAGCGACCUCGAAGUGCCAAAGGAUGCAGACCCCGUUAUAAGUUCGCCGUCUAAAGCGACCUCGAAGUGCCAAAGGGCGCAGACUCCGCUAUAAAAGCUCCAAGACGCGUAAGGGUGCGGACGUGAUCCCCUUCGACCUCAAUAACCACAAUGACAAUUUCUACUUCCCGCGUCCGAGCUCGCAAGUUGCUCGAACUCGGAAGUCGGGGGGUAGUGUUGGGGGAAUACGGUUUUCCCCCAGCAAUAUUGUAACCCCGCCCCUAAGAAGCUGCAUAGCCGCCGACCUUGGACGACUGAGGUCGGCGUCCGACCUCAGAACCUCCGACCUGGAGAAUUUCCGAUCCCAGAGGUCUGUCCUUGUCGACUACCUACUACGGUCGUACCCCUCCGAGGUCCGGCCGAGGGCCAUAUCCUGCCAUUGUCCCAGCAUUUAUUGCGCAUGACCUCUGCAAACCUCCGGUUCACUCAACAAUUAAUGCGAAUCUCCGGCCCACUCAACAAUUAA